rnacentral:lncRNA from 1 species
CUAAAAUGCAUGUGGUGAGCUGUUCAGCCUCUGGAAAUGGCAUUGUAUGGCAUCACAGUAGUUAGCAUAGUGCUACUAUGCUACAUAUGCUUUCUAUGAUAUAGGUUGAUUUUUCUGGUCUGACUUUUGUUUUGUUCUAUUUUGUUCUUUUUUUUUUUUUUUUUUUUUUUUUUUUUUUUUUUUUUUUUUUUUUUUUUUAAUUAGUGACUCACGUUAUUAGAAUUGGUGAAUUAGGCCUGUAUCCCAUGCCACAAACCCUGAAGUGAGUCCAGAGAAGAGCAACAAAGCUGGUGAGGAGGCAAGAGAGCAAGUCUUGUGGCCUCAGGCCUGUUAGGCAAGAUAAUGGAAGUAGGUAAUGCCACGUGGUGGCUGUGGACAGACACUUGAGUUUUCAGGUCUCCAUUGUUGCAAUUGGAAGAGUAGAGAAUGUUGUCUUCACUUUAAAUGAAUUUUUUUUUAAUCAUUUGUCUGUGAGAGAAGUAUUUUUUCUGUGAGUUCAGAGUUUUUACUUUAUUGGUA